AUUGAACGCUGGCGGCAGGCCUAACACAUGCAAGUCGAACGAGUGGCGGACGGGUGAGUAAUGUCUGGGAAACUGCGCGAUGGAGGGGGAUAACUACUGGAAACGGUAGCUAAUACCGCAUACCAUCGGAUGUGCCCAGAUGGGCUUAGAUAGUGGGUGGGGUAACGGCUCACCUAGGCGACGAUCCCUAGCUGGUCUGAGAGGAUGACCAGCCACAUUGGAACUGAGACACGGUCCAGACUCCGACGGGAGGCAGCAGUGGGGAAUAUUGCACAAUGGGCGCAAGCCUGAUGCAGCCAUGCCGCGUGUAUGAAGAAGGCCUUCGGAUUGUAAAGUACUUUCAGCGAGGAGGCGUUACUCGCAGAAGAAGCCCCGGCUAACUCCGUGCCAGCAGCCGCGGUAAUAC
rnacentral:rRNA from 1 species